AACAUAAAUUCAGCUGUGUACCCUGGAGGCCCCCCAGUGCCCGUUCAAGUCCCAAAGCUUCUGAAGUUUGUUGACACUACAGAAAUGACAAGAGGGCCCCAGGAAACUCCUGGCUAUUGGGUUGUAUCUGGAGCUAGACUGGUUGUUGAGAAGGGUAGAAUUUCUCUCCGGGUUAGGUAUUCCUUGUUGACUAUAGUAUUACCUGAUGAAGAUUUGGAACCAG
rnacentral:misc_RNA from 1 species